GGCGGGGCUGAGGGGCCGAACCCGCGGGGGGGAGGGGCGGCGUCGGUCACGUGACGAGGUUUCAGUGUUUACACGCGGAGCGGCCAGAGCGUUCGGCCUCAGUCAGGCGCUCGCCUCCGUUUCGGUU
rfam:Pteropus vampyrus cont1.270136, whole genome shotgun sequence.